rnacentral:rRNA from 1 species
GCCAGCAGCUAUAUCGCCUUGCAACAACUGGCAGCCCACUGAAACUCAGCAGGUGUGAGCCUGGUCAGUACCUGGAUGGGAGACCGCCUGGGAAAAACUAAGGCUGCUGCUGGAA